rnacentral:misc_RNA from 1 species
UCCGGCUUAUCACCGGCGGUUUCUUUAGAGUGCCCAACUAAAUGAUGGCAACUAAAGACGAGGGUUGCGCUCGUUGCGGGACUUAACCCAACAUCUCACGACACGAGCUGACGACAGCCAUGCACCACCUGUGCAAGUUGUCCCUUUCGGGACUCGCUGGCUUUCACCAACUUAGAAAUGCAUGUCAAGGCCUGGUAAGGUUCUUCGCGUUGCAUCGAAUUAAGCCACAUACUCCACCGCUUGUGCGGGCCCCCGUCAAUUUCUUUGAGUUUUAAUCUUGCGACCGUACUCCCCAGGCGGCACGUUUAACGCGUUAGCUCCGGCGCAGAAGGGGUCGAAUCCUCCCACACCUAGCGCCCAUCGUUUACGGCGUGGACUAC